CCGAUCAUAGCUCAGUCGGUAGAGCAUUAGACUGUAAAGUAGGCCUUUCCUGAUAUCUAAGGGUCCCCUGUUCGACCCAGGGUGAUCGGA
rnacentral:tRNA from 1 species